rnacentral:rRNA from 1 species
AUGGCAGGCUACCCCCCACCCCCCGGCUCCGGCUACCCCUACGGCGCCGCUGGCGGCUACGGAGCCCCACCGCCCUCCGGCCAGAAGCCCCCCAAAGAAGGCAAGACCUCUUCCUCCUCCGGCCCCGACCCCUACCACGGUGCUCCGCCCCCGCAGCAGCCUUACGGCGGCGGCGGCGGCGGCGGCUACGGAGCCCCGCCGUCCUACGGCCAGAAGCCUCCAAAGGAAGGCAAGACCUCCUACUCCUCCGGCUCCGACCCAUACCACGGCGCUCCACCCCCGCAGCAGCCUUACGGCGGGGGCGGUGGAGGCGGAGGCGGCUACGGGCAGCAGCCCUACGGCGCCCAGCCGCCUUCGUCCGCUGCGCCCUACGGGGGGCCACCCGCCGCGCAGCCCUACGCAGGAGGCGGCGCCGGUGGGUACGGGAGCCCGUUCGCGGCGCUGGUGCCGUCGACGUUCCCGCCGGGGACGGACCCGAACGUGGUGGCGUGCUUCCAGGCCGCGGACCGCGACGGCAGCGGGAUGAUCGACGACAAGGAGCUGCAGUCCGCGCUCUCUGGGUUCAGCAGCCAGAGCUUCAGCCUCCGCACCGUCCACCUCCUCAUGUACCUCUUCACCAACACCAACGUCCGCAAGAUCGGGCCAAAGGAGUUCACUUCUGUGUUUUACAGUCUUCAGAAUUGGAGGGGCAUAUUUGAGAGGUUUGACCGUGACCGAAGUGGUAGAAUUGAUGCACCAGAACUGCGUGAUGCUCUUCUAGAUCUUGGAUAUUCCGUUUCUCCAACUGUGCUCGACUUGCUUGUUUCCAAAUUUGACAAGACUGGGGGCAAGAACAAAGCGGUUGAAUAUGACAACUUCAUUGAAUGCUGCCUCACAGUGAAGGGCCUGACCGAGAAGUUCAAGGAGAAGGACACGGCGUACUCGGGGUCUGCGACUUUCGGUUACGAGGCGUUCAUGCUGACGGUGCUCCCUUUCCUCAUCGCAUGA